rnacentral:rRNA from 1 species
AGCUCCAAUAGCGUAUAUUAAAGUUGUUGCGGUUAAAAAGCUCGUAGUUGGAUUUCUGCUGAAGCAAACCGGUCCGCCCUCUGGGUGAGCAUCUGGCUUUAUUUUGGCAUAUGUUUGGACUUUGCAGCUGCACUUGACUGUGUGGUGUGAAGGCCAAGCCAUUUACUUUGAGGAAAUCAGAGUGUUUCAAGCAGGCAAUUGCCUUGAAUACAUUAGCAUGGAAUAAUAUGAUAUGACUGUGGUUUUAUUUUGUUGGCUUCUAGGAUUGGAGUAAUGAUUAAUAGGGAUAGUUGGGGGCAUUCAUAUUUAACUGUCAGAGGUGAAAUUCUUGGAUUUGUUAAGGAUGAACGACUGCGAAAGCAUUUGCCAAGGAUGCUU